rnacentral:rRNA from 1 species
UACGUAGGGUGCGAGCGUUAAUCGGAAUUACUGGGCGUAAAGCGUGCGUAGGCGGUUCGUUAUGUCUGCUGUGAAAGCCCCGGGCUUAACCUGGGAAUGGCAGUGGAAACUGGCGGGCUUGAGUGUGGCAGAGGGGGGUGGAAUUCCGCGUGUAGCAGUGAAAUGCGUAGAGAUGCGGAGGAACACCGAUGGCGAAGGCAGCCCCCUGGGCUAACACUGACGCUCAGGCACGAAAGCGUGGGGAGCAAACAGG